GGGCAACAGUGUGAGGAAACAGUGAACGAAAGCCAGUGUAGUGUGUCAGACCAUACUGGAGGCUGAGCUGAGAAGCCCAGGAGUCAUUACUGUAAAGAAGUUCGUCUUGGAAAUCUUCAAAAAAAAAAAAUUUAAGAUAACAUUUGAACUGACAGGAGUUGUUUCUCCCAGGACAACCUGCCCACAUCCACAGGCUGAGUGGUCAUUGAGUGGUGUGUAAGUGGUAUAUCGUCACUUGUUUGCCAUGGACAUCUGCAACCUUGAUGACCUCUUUCUGUGAACAUAUGUGCUUCUUGGAUACGGAAAGAAGUACCAAUAACAGUAGUCUGGCUUUCAAGACUCCAUCAUGCACAACUAGUCCUCUUGCCUAUCCAGAGGUGUCUCCUACGUGUGCUCUAAUACUUGUACCUCUGUAAGAACAACAACAGGAAAGAAGAAAAAAUGGUGGCAUCAGUGCCAGUGCAAUAUGGUGUCUGCUAUAAGGAAGGUUCUGUUGCGAAGUUGGCAUCCAGAGCUAGCAAUUUCCAUCUGGAUGCUAUGUCUACUCCUCUGAUUAAAACAUGUCUUCUUUCUCCAUACCCACACAUAGGUAAUGCUUCUCUCUUUGUUCUGGCUCUGUUCCCACCAACUUGAAAUUGGCUACAAUCCAGUUCUUAAAAAGCCAGGGCUUGACCCAGUGGAGCUCAG
ensembl:lncRNA